CGCACCUUGCGCCCUCUGGUAUUCCGGAGGGCAUGCCUGUUUGAGUGUCAUGAAACUCUCAACCCCCCGGGUUUUACGAUCCGUCGGGUUGGAUUUGGACGCUGCCGCUUUGUUGUCGGCUCGUCUUAAAGGUCUUAGUGGGAUUCAGUCCACGGUACGGCGUAAUAAGUUUCGCUGUGCCCGACGACGACGUCCGCUUACAACCCCAAUCUUUCAUCUCUGACCUCAAAUCAGGUAGGGCUACCCGCUGAACUUAA
rnacentral:misc_RNA from 1 species